CAUUUUCAUUUUUUUGUCUCAUAACUUAGUUUUUUGUGAAAUGUCUAUUUUGGAGGGAGGGAUGGGGAAGGGGAAGUACAAAAGACUAAAAUGUGGUAUGUGUAUGUACCAGCUCCCCAAGGUGAUUGUAUUCAUCAUGUAUGUAUUAGUGCAAAUAGGCACUGAUUUAAAAAAACCUUUUUGUAUAUGAAGUUUUGCUUGUUUUACCUAUAUGAAGGCUUAGGUCUGUUAAUGAUGAUAUUCCUCAUAAGUACAUUGCAAACUUUUUAUAGCUUUACUGACAUGUGAAGUCUUGAUUAUACUCUUUUUGAAUCUGUCUUUAUUCGUUUGAGAUGUUCUAUUAUUGCAGAUAAUACUUAGGUAAUAGGGAAAAAUUUGACUUAUAAGAACCAUUAUGAAUAGGAAGUUAUGGGGGAGCUUUGUAAAAUUUGGCUUUGAAGCAUUUGCAGGCUUUGAAGGUCUUGUGGAUACAUGUUGGCUUUCUCAGGAUUGUAUACCGUGGCUGGAUCAGAAGCUCCGUCAUCUCCCUGGUCCUAAGUAGUCUUUCUUCUACUCUAGAAGAACGAACGAAGAGAGAUAGCUUUGAUGAGAAUCUGUGUAUCUGGUUAUGUCAGUUUAAUCUUUAAAUACUGUACUAUAGAGAGAAUCCAAGAGGAAAUUCUCCAACUUCUGGAUUGGAUUUCAGAGUAAAAGGAAUUAGUUAUCCACUCUCAACCUUGUAUACUUUUUUUUUUCUUACUCUGAGUAAAGUUGGAUUUUCAGUAAGCUGUUCAUUAGCUAGGCUUCUUUGGAGUAGACAACUGAAUCAGUGUAUUAUCAGUGUGUUAUUGACAAAUGCCUGUGAUCAUUUUGUAAGUUCUUUCUGUGGCAUCUAAUUUGAAGGGGUCAGGCACUUUGGGGGAUGCAGCUAUACAGCUGGGCUAGGUAUCAAGUAGAACACAAAGUGGGAUUAGUUUUUCAAGUAAAUAUUGGUCAGUAGCAAGUUAAUUGGAAUUUCCCUUUCCCAUUUAUGUGCUUCUGUUGAUGCUAUGUAGGAACUGGGGCAUUUUUGUAAAUACUUCUUGUGUCCCUCACUUCCAGCUAUUGAUUGGCCAGACCAUUGUAGAUUAAUCAUAAGCCUUAAUGCUUUGUCUUGAUAUUUUCUCUCCUUUUGUCCUACCGUAUCUUUGUUUCUUUUAUACCUUUAUUGCGGUGAUGAGUUCCUUCCAGAGGAAAAACAAGAAAUCCAGAAAAGCUGCCUCCUGGAUUGUAAUUCUGGCCCCAUCGAAGGCCAGAAUCACCAGACACCUGAAAAUAACCACAUUCACCCUGAGAGCAAGGGAAGAGAGACUUUGCUCAGAAAAAAGGAAAUCCAGAUAACCAACACUGCAGAGAACAGAGCCUGAGCUAAAGAGCCUGCCAAGAGAACCAGAGGGAGCAAAUGAGGAACUUACUGCAGUUUAUCAUUUGAAAUGCUUUGUAGGAAGAGGGAGGUGAGCCUGGCAUUUGCUAGGAAUCAGAGUGGAACCGGCAAAGUGGCCAGCAACAGAGUCCUGAUCCAAAUGGAGAAAGGGAA